GACGAACGCUGGCGGCGUGCUUAACACAUGCAAGUCGAACGGAAAGGCCCUGCUUUUGUGGGGUGCUCGAGUGGCGAACGGGUGAGUAACACGUGAGUAACCUGCCCUUGACUUUGGGAUAACUUCAGGAAACUGGGGCUAAUACCGGAUAGGAGCUCCUGCUGCAUGGUGGGGGUUGGAAAGUUUCGGCGGUUGGGGAUGGACUCGCGGCUUAUCAGCUUGUUGGUGGGGUAGUGGCUUACCAAGGCUUUGACGGGUAGCCGGCCUGAGAGGGUGACCGGCCACAUUGGGAAUGAGAUAAGGCCCAGAACCCCAAGGGAGGGAGGAGUGGGGAAAAUUGCAAAAUGGGCGGAAGCCUGAUGCAGCAACGCCGGGGGGGGGGUGACGGGCUUUGGGGUGGAAACCCGCUUUGCCUGGGAAGGAGGGGGAGGGAAGGGAAAGGGUAAAAAAAGCACGGCCAAACAAGGG
rnacentral:rRNA from 1 species